AUUCUGUGAUGAGGGAAUUUUUAUAAUAAUUCUUUGUACCUUUCCCAUACAUCAUACAAGACUCAUAAUGCAUUUUUUGGAAAACAGUGAUCUCAUUCCUCAACUU
rfam:Gossypium arboreum cultivar AKA8401 contig_6622_3, whole genome shotgun sequence.